UACAGAGGUCCCAAGCGUUGUUCGGAUUCAUUGGGCGUAAAGGGUGCGUAGGUGGCAUGGUAAGUCAGGUGUUUAAUCCCGGGGCCCCAACCCCGGACAGGCACUUGAAACUGGGAAUCUUGAAUAGUGGAGAGGUCAGUGGAGUUGGGGGUGUAGCGGUGGAAUGCGUAGAUAUCAGGAAGAACACCGGUGGCGAAGGCGGCUCUCUGGGCCUUACCUGACGCUGAGGAGCGAAAGCGUGGGUAGCGAACAGG
rnacentral:rRNA from 1 species